rnacentral:rRNA from 1 species
CACUAAGCCAGUGGUGAACUCCACAUCCGCAUCCUUUGCUGAGGAUACGGUUAACGGAGCGAAAGCGACGUUCAACCGCAAAACAAGCAGAGGGGGCUUAGUGGUGGGGUGACUGCGUACCUUUUGUAUAAUGGGUCAGCGACUUAUAUUCUGUAGCAAGGUUAACCGAAUAGGGGAGCCGGAGGGAAACCGAGUCUUAAUUGGGCGUUAAGUUGCAGGGUAUAGACCCGAAACCCGGUGAUCUAGCCAUGGGCAGGUUGAAGGUUGGGUAACACUAACUGGAGGACCGAACCGACUAAUGUUGAAAAAUUAGCGGAUGACCUGUGGCUGGGGGUGAAAGGCCAAUCAAACCGGGAGAUAGCUGGUUCUCCCCGAAAGCUAUUUAGGUAGCGCCUCGUGAAUUCAUCUCCGGGGGUAGAGCACUGUUUCGGCUAGGGGGCCAUCCCGGCUUACCAACCCGAUGCAAACUGCGAAUACCGGAGAAUGUUAUCACGGGAGACACACGGCGGGUGCUAACGUCCGUCGUGAAGAGGGAAACAACCCAGACCGCCAGCUAAGGUCCCAAAGUCAUGGUUAAGUGGGAAACGAUGUGGGAAGGCCCAGACAGCCAGGAUGUUGGCUUAGAAGCAGCCAUCAUUUAAAGAAAGCGUAAUAGCUCACUGGUCGAGUCGGCCUGCGCGGAAGAUGUAACGGGGCUAAACCAU